rnacentral:sRNA from 1 species
AAAAAAAAAAAAAAAAAAAGAAGGGCAGAAGAGUGGAGUCAAACCUGAUUAUUCUGGAUGGUGGAUGUUGGUGAAAUGUUAAGAUGUUCAGAGAAAACAGCAGCAACCUUUUGCAGAACCAAAAAGGAAGUUAACCACAUGGUGUAAAGCCUGAUUCUAUUCUCUCCAAGCUCCUCCCAAGUCUGAACAGAAAUAGUGCGGGGCUGGAGCUCAGAAGAACGGUCAGCGCUUCAGAGGUGGGAGUCACCUGCUUAGAGGUGACUGGAGUCAUGAGUAAGUGAGAUCAUCAAGUGAGACAGAGACAAAGAAUGGCAUGUAUGCAGAGGCUGGGAGACUGCUGAGGCCAGCGUCCUGCAAGGGCAGGGGAGAACGCAAUCAGGAGACAGGAGAGUGAGGUGGCUCAGUGAGUAAAAGGAUGGCUUGCCAAGUCUAAAGACCUGAUUCCACUCUGAGACCCACAUGGUGAAAAGACAGACCUCUGACAUACACUCACACACAUGUGCACAAUAAAUAUUUUAAUUUUUAAAGGAGAAAAAAAGCAGAAGAGUAUAGGGCAAUUGCAGCCAUACAACAUCACACAGCAGUUUCAAGGGGAGCACCAUGCAGCCCCAGUCACCAUGGAGAGACCAAGGAGAUAUGAACUCACAACAAGGGAGCUAACUAGUUCCUCUAGGGUUUAAAGCUCACUGAAUUUCAUGAACGACCCCACACAUAUAUACCUUCUUCAGUCUCCAAGCUACCAACAAUGGUGAGAUCUAGCUGAAAAUGCCAGCAGCUGAAGAAUAGUCUAUCAAUACUGAUUCUUCCAAGGUUGUUCUGUUCCUGCCUGGACAGCCAGGCACACAUUUUACAGACACUGUGUGAUUCCUUCUAGAUACUAAGCAACAUGCUCAGCACUGGGAAAGGCACACAAUCCAGCUUUCCAAUGUCAGUAAACUUUAAGACGCAUGAAACCAUUACAUACUGUAACACACUUUCUAAGGUAAAGGAAGGCCAACAAAUGCUGAGUCAAAGCAAAUGCCUGUCUGGAGGACAAAUGGCCCUGACGUCCAAGAAAACUCUGGUAAAGAGAACUUCUCACUAGGUCCUAAAGGAGCUGGGGAUGGAGAGAGGAUGAGAACAGGAGCAACUGAAAACAUCUGAAAAGGAGGAACUGUGCAGCAUGGUUGAAACCCUCCAUAAGCCAGGAGAAAUAUGAGGAUGCAGGACAGAGGGUGCUACAGGUCAGGCAUGGUUUGAGUUAACUCCCUAGAAGGCUCAUGUGCCACAUACAAGUUUGGGCCCCAGUGUGGUGAAAGGUCAGAUCUAAAGGAAUCUAAUAGGGUCAGGAAGCAUCACUCACGAGGGUGUUAAUGGUCUUGUGGAGUGAGUUCUCACAAAAGCAGGUUACCAUAAGUGAGACCACUCCAAGCACAUCUCUUCGGCAGGGCCAUUACCUUGUCUAUGCUGUGAUACAGCUAAGGUACAGCUAAGGAAGCCCUUGCCACAGGCCAAGUAGAUGUGGUCACCUGGUCCCAGACUUCCAGCAUCUCAUUUGUUGUGAAAUAACUAAAUCUUUUCUUCUUCAUAAGACAUUCAACACAGGGCGGUCCAUUGUAGCAAUGGCACAUGAACUAAUUCCGAAGGGUGUGCUUGAUGUAGUCUUUCUCACUUCCUGUACUCCAAAAUGCAAUCUGUUGAAGCAAACCUCAUUUUCUACUCCCUGAAGUAGUCAUUGGGGUCAAGAACUGGAUACUGAGUGAAUUUUAAGCUAAUGUCCUCUAAUAGGACUACAGAUUUUAAAAACACAAGAUUAUGGCUGAAGACUUACUGGGUAAAUGAUACAACAUUUGCCCAUCGUGUGUGAGAUUCUUAAUCCCAAACAACAAUGACCAAAAAAAAAAAAAGAAAAA